rnacentral:rRNA from 1 species
AACGAACGCUGGCGGCAUGCCUAACACAUGCAAGUCGAACGAGACCUUCGGGUCUAGUGGCGCACGGGUGCGUAACGCGUGGGAACCUGCCCUUAGGUUCGGAAUAACUCCCCGAAAGGGGUGCUAAUACCGGAUAAUGUCUUCGGACCAAAGAUUUAUCGCCUUUGGAUGGGCCCGCGUUGGAUUAGCUAGUUGGUAGGGUAAAAGCCUACCAAGGCGACGAUCCAUAGCUGGUCUGAGAGGAUGAUCAGCCACACUGGGACUGAGACACGGCCCAGACUCCGACGGGGGGGGGCAGGGGGGAAAAUUGGACAAGGGGGGAAAGCCUGAUCCCACAGGGCCGGGUGAGUGAUGAAGGCCUUGGGGUUGUAAAGCUCUUUUACCCGGGAGGAAAAGGACAGUACCGGGAGAAAAAGCCCCGGCUAACUCCGG